rnacentral:rRNA from 1 species
UAAGCGACUAAGCGUACACGGUGGAUGCCCUGGCAGUCAGAGGCGAUGAAGGACGUGCUAAUCUGCGAUAAGCGUCGGUAAGGUGAUAUGAACCGUUAUAACCGGCGAUUUCCGAAUGGGGAAACCCAGUGUGAUUCGUCACACUAUCAUUAACUGAAUCCAUAGGUUAAUGAGGCGAACCGGGGGAACUGAAACAUCUAAGUACCCCGAGGAAAAGAAAUCAACCGAGAUUCCCCCAGUAGCGGCGAGCGAACGGGGAGCAGCCCAGAGCCUGAAUCAGUGUGUGUGUUAGUGGAAGCGUCUGGAAAGGCGCGCGAUACAGGGUGACAGCCCCGUACACAAAAAUGCACAUGCUGUGAGCUCGAUGAGUAGGGCGGGACACGUGGUAUCCUGUCUGAAUAUGGGGGGACCAUCCUCCAAGGCUAAAUACUCCUGACUGACCGAUAGUGAACCAGUACCGUGAGGGAAAGGCGAAAAGAACCCCGGCGAGGGGAGUGAAAAAGAACCUGAAACCGUGUACGUACAAGCAGUGGGAGCACGCUUAGGCGUGUGACUGCGUACCUUUUGUAUAAUGGGUCAGCGACUUAUAUUCUGUAGCAAGGUUAACCGAAUAGGGGAGCCGAAGGGAAACCGAGUCUUAACUGGGCGUUAAGUUGCAGGGUAUAGACCCGAAACCCGGUGAUCUAGCCAUGGGCAGGUUGAAGGUUGGGUAACACUAACUGGAGGACCGAACCGACUAAUGUUGAAAAAUUAGCGGAUGACUUGUGGCUGGGGGUGAAAGGCCAAUCAAACCGGGAGAUAGCUGGUUCUCCCCGAAAGCUAUUUAGGUAGCGCCUCGUGAAUUCAUCUCCGGGGGUAGAGCACUGUUUCGGCAAGGGGGUCAUCCCGACUUACCAACCCGAUGCAAACUGCGAAUACCGGAGAAUGUUAUCACGGGAGACACACGGCGGGUGCUAACGUCCGUCGUGAAGAGGGAAACAACCCAGACCGCCAGCUAAGGUCCCAAAGUCAUGGUUAAGUGGGAAACGAUGUGGGAAGGCCCAGACAGCCAGGAUGUUGGCUUAGAAGCAGCCAUCAUUUAAAGAAAGCGUAAUAGCUCACUGGUCGAGUCGGCCUGCGCGGAAGAUGUAACGGGGCUAAACCAUGCACCGAAGCUGCGGCAGCGACGCUGAUGCGUUGUUGGGUAGGGGAGCGUUCUGUAAGCCUGCGAAGGUGUGCUGUGAGGCAUGCUGGAGGUAUCAGAAGUGCGAAUGCUGACAUAAGUAACGAUAAAGCGGGUGAAAAGCCCGCUCGCCGGAAGACCAAGGGUUCCUGUCCAACGUUAAUCGGGGCAGGGUGAGUCGACCCCUAAGGCGAGGCCGAAAGGCGUAGUCGAUGGGAAACAGGUUAAUAUUCCUGUACUUGGUGUUACUGCGAAGGGGGACGGAGAAGGCUAUGUUGGCCGGGCGACGGUUGUCCCGGUUUAAGCGUGUAGGCUGGUUUUCCAGGCAAAUCCGGAAAAUCAAGGCUGAGGCGUGAUGACGAGGCACUACGGUGCUGAAGCAACAAAUGCCCUGCUUCCAGGAAAAGCCUCUAAGCAUCAGGUAACAUCAAAUCGUACCCCAAACCGACACAGGUGGUCAGGUAGAGAAUACCAAGGCGCUUGAGAGAACUCGGGUGAAGGAACUAGGCAAAAUGGUGCCGUAACUUCGGGAGAAGGCACGCUGAUAUGUAGGUGAAGUCCCUCGCGGAUGGAGCUGAAAUCAGUCGAAGAUACCAGCUGGCUGCAACUGUUUAUUAAAAACACAGCACUGUGCAAACACGAAAGUGGACGUAUACGGUGUGACGCCUGCCCGGUGCCGGAAGGUUAAUUGAUGGGGUCAGCGCAAGCGAAGCUCUUGAUCGAAGCCCCGGUAAACGGCGGCCGUAACUAUAACGGUCCUAAGGUAGCGAAAUUCCUUGUCGGGUAAGUUCCGACCUGCACGAAUGGCGUAAUGAUGGCCAGGCUGUCUCCACCCGAGACUCAGUGAAAUUGAACUCGCUGUGAAGAUGCAGUGUACCCGCGGCAAGACGGAAAGACCCCGUGAACCUUUACUAUAGCUUGACACUGAACAUUGAGCCUUGAUGUGUAGGAUAGGUGGGAGGCUUUGAAGUGUGGACGCCAGUCUGCAUGGAGCCGACCUUGAAAUACCACCCUUUAAUGUUUGAUGUUCUAACGUUGACCCGUAAUCCGGGUUGCGGACAGUGUCUGGUGGGUAGUUUGACUGGGGCGGUCUCCUCCUAAAGAGUAACGGAGGAGCACGAAGGUUGGCUAAUCCUGGUCGGACAUCAGGAGGUUAGUGCAAUGGCAUAAGCCAGCUUGACUGCGAGCGUGACGGCGCGAGCAGGUGCGAAAGCAGGUCAUAGUGAUCCGGUGGUUCUGAAUGGAAGGGCCAUCGCUCAACGGAUAAAAGGUACUCCGGGGAUAACAGGCUGAUACCGCCCAAGAGUUCAUAUCGACGGCGGUGUUUGGCACCUCGAUGUCGGCUCAUCACAUCCUGGGGCUGAAGUAGGUCCCAAGGGUAUGGCUGUUCGCCAUUUAAAGUGGUACGCGAGCUGGGUUUAGAACGUCGUGAGACAGUUCGGUCCCUAUCUGCCGUGGGCGCUGGAGAACUGAGGGGGGCUGCUCCUAGUACGAGAGGACCGGAGUGGACGCAUCACUGGUGUUCGGGUUGUCAUGCCAAUGGCACUGCCCGGUAGCUAAAUGCGGAAGAGAUAAGUGCUGAAAGCAUCUAAGCACGAAACUUGCCCCGAGAUGAGUUCUCCCUGACUCCUUGAGAGUCCUGAAGGAACGUUGAAGACGACGACGUUGAUAGGCCGGGUGUGUAAGCGCAGCGAUGCGUUGAGCUAACCGGUACUAAUGAACCGUGAGGCUUAACCU